CCUCCUCGGGGCACCAGCCCCUGCCCAGCCCCAUCCUCAAGCGGGGCCCCCAGAAGGGGUGGGGAGUUUGUGACCUCUGGCACUUCACCUCCCCCCUAAUACUCCAACUGCAGGUCUGCAAAGGACGUCCUGCCUGUAUUUCAGGGCAGACUGAGGCCGGGAAGGCACUCUGGGUGGUGCUGUGAGCUCGGUCCAGCACACUCGGAGCUGGCUGAGGGGUGGGCUGCGGAGCCCUCUCCUGAGGACAGCGGGAAGCGGGCCUGGAAACGCGGCGCCAGACCCCCGAGAGCCCCGCGCCCCCCCCCCCCCCCCCCCCCCCCCCCCCCCCCGCGCCGCCGCCGGCCCGGGGCCCUGCCUGCAAGUUUCCCGUCAGCAGCCGCCCUGGUCCUGGAGUGCUGGACCCUCACACUUUGUGAGAAGCCCCUGGAAGGGCUGUUUUGGGCCCCCCACUGUCCUUGCUCUUAGCC
rnacentral:lncRNA from 1 species